UAGAAGAAAGAAGAGUCGCUGACUAGCCUCUUCCAAUAAUUUUUCCGUCACCCAGCAUCGCACAUGAUCACACACACUGUUUCAAGCUUUGCCGUCGAUCCCACACGCCGAUGCAGUUUCCGAGUGUUUUUUCUAGCCAAUUCUUCCUCCAGUGGUCUUCCCACAGUGUGGCGCCUCUGCCCAGCUGAUCUUCCCAUCUGGUUUGCACUUUUUGGUUCCUGGAUUUUUUUGUUCUUUUUCCUGCUACUGCAAUGGCAUUUUUACCUCUGCCCAACCUGUUUCUUGCCACUAUGUUGUUGGUUUGAUAUUAAAAAUGGCUGAAGGAAAAAGGGUGAUUUCAGAAACUGACCAACAAAUCCAUCUUUACAAAUCAGUCCUGUAAACGAUGCUAAUUAUCUUGCGUGGUCAAAUCUUAUUUGUUGUUUAUUCAGGCUAGAGGACUGCAAGGAUAUGUCACCAGGGAUAAAUCAAAACCGAAAGCUUAGUACCACUCAUAGUCAAUAGGAAUCAGAGAAUUCCCUUGUAAUGUCUUGGCUUAUUAAUUUCAUACAACCUCAUAUAGCCAGUAGAUAUUUGCUGAUGAAUAGUGUAGCAACUAUUUGGAAUGCAGUUUUCCAAAUUUACUCUCAAAUGGGCAAUAACGCACAUAUUUAUGAGCUCCGAAACAAUAUUCAUAAUACAAAACAAGGCGAGAACAAAAGACCAUUGCUCAGUGCUUCACCGAAUUAAGUAGUUUACGGCAAGAACUAGACUAUUAUCAAGAUUUCAGGCCACAUGUACUGUUAAUGCUGUUAAAUUCCAAAUGUUGAUUGAAAAAGAACAAGUCUAUGAUUUUCUUGCCGGGUUAAAUAUAAAAUAUGAUUAGAUUCAGGUACAAGUGCUUGGAAAGGACCCAAUGCCUUCCUUUAGGCAAACUUAUUCAUAUGUGCAGCAGGAGGAGAGGUGAAGAAGUGUCAUGAUACACUUUUUGUCUGCUGACAAGGCAGGGUUGGUAGCUGCUUCCCCCUACACCAAAAUCCCAGCUGUCU
rnacentral:misc_RNA from 1 species